CACGUAGGGCGCAAGCGUUGUCCGGAAUUAUUGGGCGUAAAGAGCUCGUAGGCGGUCUGUUGCGUCCGCUGUGAAAACUCGGGGCUUAACCCCGAGCCUGCAGUGGAUACGGGCAGACUAGAGGUAGGUAGGGGAGAAUGGAAUUCCCGGUGUAGCGGUGAAAUGCGCAGAUAUCGGGAGGAACACCAGUAGCGAAGGCGGCACUCUGGGCCGGUACUGACGCUGAGACGCGAAAGCGUGGGGAGCGAACAGG
rnacentral:rRNA from 1 species